rnacentral:rRNA from 1 species
ACCCUUUAAUGUUUGAUGUUCUAACGUGGACCCGUAAUCCGGGUUGCGGACAGUGUCUGGUGGGUAGUUUGACUGGGGCGGUCUCCUCCUAAAGAGUAACGGAGGAGCACGAAGGUUGGCUAAUCCUGGUCGGACAUCAGGAGGUUAGUGCAAUGGCAUAAGCCAGCUUGACUGCGAGCGUGACGGCGCGAGCAGGUGCGAAAGCAGGUCAUAGUGAUCCGGUGGUUCUGAAUGGAAGGGCCAUCGCUCAACGGAUAAAAGGUACUCCGGGGAUAACAGGCUGAUACCGCCCAAGAGUUCAUAUCGACGGCGGUGUUUGGCACCUCGAUGUCGGCUCAUCACAUCCUGGGGCUGAAGUAGGUCCCAAGGGUAUGGCUGUUCGCCAUUUAAAGUGGUACGCGAGCUGGGUUUAGAACGUCGUGAGACAGUUCGGUCCCUAUCUGCCGUGGGCGCUGGAGAACUG